rnacentral:tRNA from 1 species
UUCCCGUUCGUCCAAUCGGUAGGACGCCUGGUUCUGGCCCAGGAAAUCGAGGUUCGAGUCCUUGAUGGGAAGC